UACAGAGGGUGCGAGCGUUAAUCGGAAUUACUGGGCGUAAAGCGAACGUAGGUGGUUUUGCAAGUCGAGUGUGAAAGCCCCGGGCUCAACCUGGGAACUGCAUUCGAGACUGCAUGACUGGAGUAUGGGAGAGGGCAGUGGAAUUUCCGGUGUAGCGGUGAAAUGCGUAGAUAUCGGAAGGAACAUCAGUGGCGAAAGCGACUGCCUGGCCCAAUACUGACACUCAAGUUCGAAAGCGUGGGGAGCAAACAGG
rnacentral:rRNA from 1 species